rnacentral:rRNA from 1 species
GAUGAACGCUGGCGGCGUGCUUAACACAUGCAAGUCGAACGGGAAUUACUUUAUUGAAACUUCGGUCGAUUUAAUUUAAUUCUAGUGGCGGACGGGUGAGUAACGCGUGGGUAACCUGCCUUAUACAGGGGGAUAACAGUCAGAAAUGACUGCUAAUACCGCAUAAGCGCACGGAACCGCAUGGUUCUGUGUGAAAAACUCCGGUGGUAUAAGAUGGACCCGCGUUGGAUUAGCUUGUUGGUGAGGUAACGGCUCACCAAGGCGACGAUCCAUAGCCGGCCUGAGAGGGUGAUCGGCCACAUUGGAACUGAGACACGGGUCCAAACUCCUACGGGAGGCAGCAGGUGGGGAAUAUUGCGCAAGUGGGACAAAGCCUGAUGCAGCAACGCCG